CUUCGCCUCCUCCUUCACCUCCUCCUUCUCCUCCUUCACCUCCUUCUUCUCCUCCUCCUCUUUCGCCUCCUCCUCGGCGCAGUCGUGACCAUGGAAACCGGGCGCGCACGCGCACACGAACCCCCCCCGUGGGGACACGGGGGGCGGGGCUGGGGCGGUGGGGGGGGAUGAGGAGGGGGGAGGAGGAGGAGCGGUCGAGGGGAGGGAGAGGGCCGGGGCCGGCGCGCGCCCUGGGGGGCUGAGUCCUGCCUGCGGCUGUGUUUCCGGCUGUGCUUCCGGCUGUGCCCCUGUGUGCUCGUCCGGGUGUUCGUCUGAGCGCUGCGAGAGGGUGUUCAGCACCAUGGACAGCAGCGGCAGCAGCCUCGCGACUUGAGCUGUCAUCUCGAGCCUCGCAGAAUCUCACCUCUUCAUUCAACACAACAAACAACAACGACGAUUGAAGAUAGUGAUGAUAAUGAAUCGAUAAUAAUGAUGAUUGUAAUAUUUUACGUAUGGCCGUUGCUGAUGUAGAGCAACAACUGUCAUUUUACAUUGAUGAUAAUGAUGUAUGAUCACAGUGGUGAUUAUCAGCAUGCAUUACGGUGAAUAUACAUGGUGGCUACAUGUUGAUGUUGAGGAUGGUUUGAUGGUGGUAGCUAUGUAUUAAUUAUGACUCCAAUCAAAUGGUGACUAUUAUAUGAUUAUUAAUGUAUGAUGGUAGCCUGAUGCUAUUUCGGGGUGACGACGAUGACCCUUAUAAACAUGCGUUGUUUAUGGUAAUCGUGAACGUUACAAUGCUGAUUUAGCUUAACUAUUAUGAUACAGAUUAACUCGUGAUUAGCAUCGCCGUGAUGAUGGAUUAAUGCAAAUUAUAAUUACGCGAAACCUUGAAUUACGACGGCGUGACGAUGGUGAAUUUCUGAUGACUAUUAAAAAAUUGUUCAUGAUCAUGGUUCGCCGAUCAUGUCGAAA